AUUGAACGCUGGCAGCCGGCUUAACACAUGCAAGUCGAGCGAGCGGCGGACGGGUGAGUAAUGUCUGGGAAACUGCCUGAUGGAGGGGGAUCACUACUGGAAACGGUAGCUAAUACCGCAUACCAUCAGAUGUGCCCAGCUGGGAUUAGCUAGUAGGUGGGGUACGGGCUCACCUAGGCGACGAUCACUAGCUGGUCUGAGAGGAUGACCAGCAACACGGGAACUGUGACACGGUCCAGACGCCUACGGUAGGCAGCAGUGGGGAAUAUGGGACAAUGGGCGCAAGCGUGAGGCAGCCAUGCCGCAGGUGUGAAGAAGGGCUGCGGGUUGUAAAGCACUUUCAGCGAGGAGGCGUUACGCGCAGAAGAAGCACCGGCUAACUACGUGCCAGCAGCCGCGGUAAUUC
rnacentral:rRNA from 1 species